GUUUUUCUAGUAUAAAUAGUACAACUGACUUCCAAUCAGUAAGCUUGAUCAAGGAUCAAGAAAAACA
rnacentral:tRNA from 1 species